rnacentral:rRNA from 1 species
GUGCCAGCAGCCGCGGUAAUACGUAGGUGGCGAGCGUUGUUCGGAAUUACUGGGCAUAAAGGGCGCGUAGGCGGUGAUUUAAGUCGGUUGUGAAAGGCCUCGGCUCAACCGGGGAAACGCAACCGAAACUGGAUCGCUCGAGCACGGAAGGGGAAGGUGGAAUUCCAGGUGGAGCGGUGAAAUGCGUAGAUAUCUGGAGGAACACCCGUGGCGAAAGCGGCCUUCUGGUCCGUUGCUGACGCUGAGGCGCGAAAGCUAGGGGAGCAAACAGGAUUAGAUACCCUUGUAGUCC